GAUUGAACAUGAGGCUUGAAGGAGAGGUCGGAGUCAAAGAGAACACCUAGGCAGGGAGCCUGCGUGGUGGAGCUGAUGAUAGCACCGUUGACUUGGAGGGAGGGAGACACAGGAGUAACAACACUUGAGGGAGGAAAGAUCAGAAUUUCAGUUUUGGUCAAGUUUAGUUUAAGGAAGUGGGCAGCCAUCCAGUUAGAAACAGCAGAGAGGCAGUCAGAGGCACUAGUCAAGAGGGACGGGGAGAGAUCAGUAGAGGACAGGUAGAUUUGCGUGUCAUCUGCAUAGAAAUGAUAUUGGAAGCCAAAGAAGCUAAUGAGUUUACCAAGGGAGGUAGUAUAGAUGGAGAACAGGAGGGGACCAAGGGCUGAACCUUGGGGGACACCAACAGAGAGGAGUUGGGGAGAAGAACAGAGCCAGAGAAAGAAACACUGAAAGAGCGCUGGGAGGAGCACCAGGAGAGAGCAAUAUCUUGUAGACCGAUAUUGCGGAGGAUGAGAAGAAGCUGUU